GAUGAACGCUAGCGGCAGGCCUAAUACAUGCAAGUCGAACGGGAUUUGAGUAGCAAUACUUAAUGAGAGUGGCGCACGGGUGCGUAACGCGUGGGAACCUGCCCUUAGGUUCGGAAUAACUCCUCGAAAGGGGUGCUAAUACCGGAUGAUGUCUUCGGACCAAAGAUUUAUCGCCUAUGGAUGGGCCCGCGUUGGAUUAGCUAGUUGGUGAGGUAAAGGCUCACCAAGGCGACGAUCCAUAGCUGGUCUUAGAGGAUGACCAGUCACAUCGGGACUGAGACACGGCCCGAACUCCUACGGGAGGCAGCAGUGGGGAAUCUUGGACAAUGGGGGCAACCCUGAUCCAGCCAUGCCGCGUGUGUGAAGAAGGCCUUAGGGUUGUAAAGCUCUUUUACCCGGGAUGAUAAUGACAGUACCGGGAGAAUAAGCCCCGGCUAACUCCGUGCCAGCAGCCGCGGUAAUACGGAGGGGGCUAGCGUUGUUCGGAAAUACUGGGCGUAAAGCGAACGUAGGCGGCUUGGCAAGUCAGGGGUGAAAUCCCGGAGCUCAACUCCGGAACUGCCUUUGAAACUGCCUCGCUUGAAUCCUGGAGAGGCGAGUGGAAUUCCGAGUGUAGAGGUGAAAUUCGUAGAUAUUCGGAAGAACACCAGUGGCGAAGGCGACUCGCUGGACAGGUAUUGACGCUGAGGUUCGAAAGCGUGGGGAGCAAACA
rnacentral:rRNA from 1 species